CGGCUACACUGCGGGCGCCGAACCAAGGCUAGAUUCAAGAACUCAGGAUGUAAUAUCUGGGGUAUUUGCAUCUGGUCCAGGAGAAGCUGAGAAGUACCGUAAGAACUCGAUCAAGAUAAUACUUGCGUGAGGAACGUGCUGCCGCUACUCC
rnacentral:ncRNA from 1 species